UACGAAGGGGGGCUAGCGUUGCUCGGAAUCACUGGGCGUAAAGCGCACGUAGGCGGAUUCUUAAGUCAGGGGUGAAAUCCUGGAGCUCAACUCCAGAACUGCCUUUGAUACUGGGAAUCUCGAGUCCGGGAGAGGUGAGUGGAACUGCGAGUGUAGAGGUGAAAUUCGUAGAUAUUCGCAAGAACACCAGUGGCGAAGGCGGCUCACUGGCCCGGUACUGACGCUGAGGUGCGAAAGCGUGGGGAGCAAACAGG
rnacentral:rRNA from 1 species